AGAGUUUGAUCCUGGCUCAGGACGAACGCUGGCGGCAGGCUUAACACAUGCAAGUCGAACGCUCGUAGCAAUACGGGAGUGGCGGACGGGUGAGUAACGCGUGGGAACGUGCCCUGAGGUACGGAAUAACUGCGGGAAACUGCAGCUAAUACCGUAUGAGCCCGCAAGGGGGAAAGAUUUAUCGCCUUGGGAGCGGCCCGCGUCGGAUUAGCUAGUUGUGGGGUAACGGCCUACCAAGGCUUCGAUCCGUAGCUGGUCUGAGAGGACGAUCAGCCACACUGGGACUGAGACACGGCCCAGACUCCUACGGGAGGCAGCAGUGGGGAAUCUUGCGCAAUGGGGGCAACCCUGACGCAGCCAUGCCGCGUGAAUGGUGAAGGCCUUAGGGUUGUAAAGUUCUUUUGCCCGUGACGAUGAUGACGGUAACGGGAGAAUAAGCUCCGGCUAACUUCGUG
rnacentral:rRNA from 1 species